AGAAGAUGACAAUUCUAUAUGGUGACUGAACUUCAAAUCUGAUGCUCCACAGCAUAAAAUACUGUUCGGGGUCAAACAACCAGGAUUUGGUGCUUUUUUUGUGGAUUCUAAAAACCUUUAAGAUAUUUGUUUAUAUUGACUAUACAUAAAAGGAUCUAUUGGAGCUGAAUAAUACACAGAAAGAAAGCUCCUCUUGGAACCUGUCCAUGCCAGAUAUUUGACACAUUUUCUGUUCACUGUGGAUCAACUGAAUGGGAUUUUAAGCCAGAGCACUGAAGUAGAAGAAGCAAAUCAUAUUGCCAAGGUGACACUUUAAAAGCAUGCUCUGCAUUUGAAAAAAUAUUCUUUUUAGGGUGUUACGUGAAGCCAGAAAAUAAAGUUAAAACUUAAAAGUUAGUCAUGGUUAAGUGGAUUGUGCAAACAAAGGGAUGACACCCAACAGUAAGAAUCAUACAGUAGAAUCAAAGCUAAUUAACUGUUAAAUGUGUAGUGAAACUCUUGAGUGGUAUUCAUGAGAUAUUGUCUUCAGAUGAUGGAAUCAAAGGCGUUUCAUUUUUAGCUUACAUUAUUCUGGGGAUGAGGAGGCAAAUAUAGCAUGUCCAGCACAUUGAUAUGAUAGCUUGAAGUAGAACUUCAUCUGCUUAGUAGUGGGUUUUGUUAUUUUGUACUGCUUCCUUGCCUCAUUUUUGUUUAAUUUGUUUAUUUGUAACAAAGUACAGUAGUGUUUUUCAACCUCGGGAUCUUUAAGAUGAGUAGACUUCCAGAAUUCCCAAGCCAGCAUCACUGGCUGGGGAAUUCUCAGAGCUGUAGUCCACUCAUCUUAAAGUUGCUGAGGUUGGGAACACUACUAUACCAUAAAUUUUGUGGCUAACCAAAGAUCAAUGAGACAAUGUUAUCAGCAAAUUUUAACAAUACUUUAAUCAUAUUGCUACUUUCUUCUAGUCCCAUUGUCACUCAGGUUGUGUAGAUAAUCACUGUAAAUAUCAGAGGUUAGACCAGAGUUUGGGAGCUCUCUUAAUCAUUAGACUAUAAUUCCACCAAUCCAGACUUUUAAUGAUAUUGGCUGGGAUUUACUAGAGUCCAAUAUUUUUUAGAGAGUCACCUAAACUUAUAACUUUAGAGAGAGGUUAAAAUAUAACUCUACUUAUAAUUGCUGUGAAGAAUAUCAGAAGCCAUUUUUCUAUAUCUUUUUUUUCCUUUUCUAUUUUUCUUUUACCCCCCCCCCCUUUUCUUGCAUUCUUAGUUUUCUCUUUGAUUUCUUUUUUCUUUUUUACUUCACAGUAGCCUGUCUUAGUUUUUAAUCUUUCUUUUUAAAAACUUUACAGAUCUCAACUGAGGAAAAUAUUAAGCAAAAAGAUUCUUCAUAGCAGAAAGGGAAAGGAUGAGUUGAUAAGAGAUAAUUUAUAAUUUUAUUUGGAGGUAACAUUUCAAGAUUGAAGGUUCCUUGACCUCAGAUUUUGCAUAUGAUUGACUGCAUAGAAUUUUUUAAAAUAAUUCUGUGUAGAAUCCUUCCUUCCUUCCUCUCUUCUGAUUUUUUUUUCUGUUUGACCUUUAUGUAAGUACAAUAUGUGUGGAACUAUAUAAAUAAAAUUACAAAUUGUUGAGUCAACAGACAGUUUGCAUUUCAUCCAGUUUAAAUACGAUACUCGAAGUAUAUCCCUCUUUACUGUUAUUUUAAAUAAGAGUCAUAGAUAAAUUAUAUGUUUGGCUCAAAGAUAACUGUUCCUCUGUACCUCAUCUAAAGAUAUGUCUGAAAUAUGUUCCUCCAAAAGAUACAUCAUACCUGUACCUAAAGUGAGGUUUUUUUACAUGCAUGUUAAGCCAGGGACACAGUCUGAAAAAAAAUGUUUACUGGUAGUUACUCAUAAGACUCAGCCUAAAAAAAAGUACAUUCAGAGAAAUUUGUUUAGGGCCACAGAGCCCUUUAGAAGUGUUUUUCUGUCUCUCUUUACUGCAAUGUAAUAGUAUUUUUGUAGUUUAUUUAUGGUGGACUUGGAUUUUUAGAUUUUUUUUCUUCAUUAGAAGGCCAGAAUGUGAAAAGCAACACUUUGCAGCAUAUCACAGCAUAGAAAAUAUGAAUUCAUAUAUAUUACUCUAUCUGUAUUUCUGAAUCUAAAUGAAUAUAGUUUUGCAUAAAGAAUCUUAGAAAGAUUGUAAUGUCGAAAUAAACAUUGGAAAUUAGAAUCAAGCAAGCCAUUCCUAUCAGCCACAUUAAAACACAGCAUAAUGUAGGCUUGCUUAUAACAGAUUUACAACACCAGAGAGAAUAAAGUAUUUUGUCUGGAAAGACAUUGGAAUCGGAUCCCUGUCAGAAGUCCACAGGGAAGGAAGCUCACAACAAGGGACUGCAUCAUAAAAAGCAUGUUUUGUGGCUGUCCCUUGUCCCCAGCUUGCCUUAAUUGGUGACUGAAAAGCAUAGAAAUUAUGAAGACCAAGAGUUUAAUGCUAUGGUCCCACUCCAUUCAUUCAUGAAGCUGUCUGGGUAUUUUUCAGAGUUCAUUUUCUCCUUCCUCUAUUACACUAUCAUAGGAAUAAUACUGUACUAGGAGAAACAUGCAUGCAUGCCAGUCUUUGGAAAAGAGAUACUCCUUUUGUGUGUGUGUGUGUGAGAGACACAUGCAUUAAAUAAGUAAAUAAUAAUCAGUGCAUCAGAUCUAAUAUUAAUAACUGUUACAACAUAGAAAGUGUUAUUAUACUAUAUGAAAACCAUCUGUGUAAGAUUCUAGGUAGAUUCGAACUACUUGGUCAAUUACAAUAUCUAAACAAAAUUUACUUUUCAAAGAGUAAUAAGUUCUCCAUUCUGAUGUUGAAUUUUCCACCAGCACUUCCUCUGUUACAAAGUAAAACCUGAGAUGUUCAGGAUGCUGAUCUUUGUGUCUGUUUCCAAAUUCUAUCCAUCAUUUUGGUGCGUCAUGAUGGUCUCCCAAUGUCUUUGCCCUUGCAUUUCCUUGUUAUGCAAGACUGGAUCAAAUCUCAAAAUAGUUAAUUUACAUAUAAGAUGACUUUAGUCUCCAGCUCUCUCCAAAGUGGUGGGACUGACAAGGAGGAAGUAUGAGGAGAAAUGAUUUCAUGAUUAAUCAGUGUUUGGUUAAACCCCAAGGAACCGGAUUACAUCUGAAAGGUUAGCAAUGAGAUCUCAACUGUAACAUGGAUUGAUAAAAUUCAAAGUCCACACAUCUGAUGUCCCUGAGAUAACUAAAGUAGUAGUAAUUAUAUAUGUGCUGCUAUGAUCCCAAGCAGAUCAAAAAAGAGAGGUGAUAUGGAUAAAAAAGUAGAGUUGUGUAAGCUUUAAUAUGAAGAUUCAAUAGCAACUUGAUCACAUCUAGAAAUUGAAUCAAACAUUGAAUUGAACCAGAAAGCUAAAUUUGAAUUAUUAGACUGAAUUAAAUACUUCCAAAUUGGUUCACUAGUUCAGAAGGGCUUUGUAUAUAUGCAGCUGCCCUUUUAAAAAUCACAUUGAACUAACCCAACCCAGGGUUUCAAAUCAGACUGGAACCAAUCCACACAGCCCUAAUAAAAGGGUCAGACAGGAAAAAAAGAAUAUGUUCCGUUUACAUGUCAUGUUGAGUCAAAACAUGGCUUGCUUAUGAUUUAUCACUUUAAAUCAUAAUGAAUUUGGUUCAUUGUAUCUUGCAAAUUAAAAUUUGUGACAGUGUGGCUCAAUACACUGUGGUUGCUUAAACUAGAAUUAAGCAAGCUAUAUUUCUCAUGAGGUAAAUUUUUGUCUCAAUGUUAUGAGGAAAAUGGGCUGAGACAGAGAGCUCUGUUUUUUCAUCAUACAGCCUCACCCUGAAACCUAGAGUGUCCCCUUGGUCUAAGCCUUUAAUAAUUUGUGAAAACCAGUUUUUUUCUGGAUGGCCGUCAAAGACAGAUUGUUCCCAUUUCCUGGUGAUCAAUAAAUUGUAAUUAAUGUUUGCUUGGGUUUUAUUUUAUUUCAAUCAACGUUGUAUGUUGUAUUAUUUUGAAUUGUUUGGGGAUUCAGGGAGAAUAUGAUUAGUGUGAUUGUGUUAUUAACUUUUAAUGAGGUUUUGAGAGAAAAUAAUGUUUUAAAACGAUAAAAUUUAAAUGGAAACAGAGAAGGGAAAUCACGGAAAGGAAGAAUGUGUUAAUUAUGUGUCUCGUUGAUUUGGGUGAUUCAUGAUCUAUGCAUACAGGCUCUGAGUUCUGCUGCCAAUGUGUUUUCUGGGUGUUUAUAUAUUAAAACAGCUGUUGAGUUGGCCUUGAAAGGGAAUUUAUUGCUUUAGACUCUCAUUUUAGUGUUUCAGUAAACCACCUUGUUUGGAGCAGGUAACCAGAUCUCCACCUAUCACAUAAACACUGGCAGCAAAGAAUAUAUGCCAAACCCAGAGAAAACCAAACAAAGAUCUCCACCCUUAGAGUACAGUAUAUUUUAUUCUGAACUUAUUUAGGCUUUUCACUCCCAUAACCUAGAGAUAUCGUUCCUCCUGGCUUGGAUUUUUUUCCCAGGCCUUAAGCACGUGGUUUUUCAGAAUCAGAUGUAGCCUCCUUUCUGCUCACUGAUAAAACAUGAGAUUUCUAAUGACAAGACUCUCUCCCUCAAAGCUUUAAUCUUAUCCCCUUAAACUCAAGUUAGAGUUGCCUGCAACCACAGAUAGGCAUCGCUGGAUAGCUAUGCUGCGAAGAGGUUGAUGGGUAAGCAUAGAUUGCAGAUUGCUGCAGAUGGGAGAUGCAUAGGUUGCAGAUGGAUGCAGAUCCCAACUGCCCUGCAUGCUGAUUGGUUAAUCCAAAGUCCUGUUCUGAGCUUUGCUCGUUGAGAACCCCCUAGCAAGAUCAUAAAAUUUGCAGAAAUAUAAAUGGAACAUCUGUGCGACCAUCCCCAAAUGACAGGUGCAUAUGUUCCCUGACAUGUAGUGCCAGAGAAGUCUGUUUGAUCCUUUCAUCAACCAAAGCAUCUUUCCUCCCUCUUCUACACUUGAUAGUUUGCCAUCUAAGUAGCAAUAGCUGACUUGGGAACUGGAUUACAGUGGGCCUGUCUGCCUACGUGCCUGCCUGCCUGGGUUGUACUUGUGUGCUUUGACUAUAAUGUCUGCAAAAAAACUUGGAGGACCACUAAACAGGGCAGCAAAUAGAUUUUUCUCAAGUAUUUGGUUUGCAAGAAGAAUAUACUCUUUAUUGAACUUAUUGCUUGUUGUUCUGCAAGAACACUGCUAGCUCAUAUUUCAUGAAUGAUGCAAAUGUGUUAACUGAAAU